CCCUCCAUAGCUCAGUGGUAGAGCGGUCGGCUGUAGACCGACAGGCCGUGUGUUCAAAUCACACUGGAGGGA
rnacentral:tRNA from 1 species